GCCUAGUUAGCUUGGAGGGUAGUGCGUCUGUCUUGUAAAAGCUAGGUCGCGGGUUCGAUUCCCGUCCUGGGCG
rnacentral:tRNA from 1 species